rnacentral:rRNA from 1 species
AUUGCACGCUGGCGGCAGGCCUAACACAUGCAAGUCGAACGAGUGGCGGACGGGUGAGUAAUGUCUGGGAAACUGCCUGAUGGAGGGGGAUAACUACUGGAAACGGUAGCUAAUACCGCAUACCAUCAGAUGUGCCCAGAUGGGAUUAGCUAGUUGGUGGGGUAACGGCGCACCAAGGCGACGAUCCCUAGCUGGUCUGAGAGGCUGAACAGACAACCUGGAACGGAGACACGGUCCAGACUCCGACGGGAGGCAGCAGGGGGGAAUAUUGCACAAUGGGCGAAAGCCUGAGGCAGCCAUGCAGCGUGUAUGAAGAAGGCCUUAGGGUUGUAAAGUACUUUCAGCGGGGAGGCGUUACCCGCAGAAGAAGCACCGGCUAACUCCGUGCCAGCAGCCGCGGUAAUUC